rnacentral:rRNA from 1 species
AUUGAACGCUGGCGGCAGGCCUAACACAUGCAAGUCGAGCGAGCGGCGCACGGGUGAGUAAUGUCUGGGAAACUUCCUGAUUGAGGGGGAUAACUCCUUGAAAAUGUAGCUACUACCGCAUUCCAUCGGAUGUGCCCCGAUGGGAUUAGCUAGUAGGUGGGGUAACGGCUCACCUAGGCGACGAUCCCUAGCUGGUCUGAGAGGAUGACCAGCCACACCGUAACUGAGACACGGUCCAGACUCCUACGGGAGGCAGAAGUGGGGAAUAUUGCACAAUGGGCGCAAGCCUGAUGCAGCCAUGCCGCGGGUAUGAAGAAGGCCUUCGGGGUGUAAAGUACUUUCAGCGGGGAGGCGUUACCAACAGAAUAAGCACCGGCUAACUUCGUGCCAGCAGCCGCGGUAAUUC